CUCUCCUCUCCUCUCCUCUCCCUGGGGAGCAGCUAGCUUCUUCAGGAGCCACAGGCUCCUCCCUUUCCAGUUUCCCACCUUAGCUUCCUUUCUGCCAGCUUUAUAUAGCCCCUGUCUGAUAAGGCCAGCAGGUGUUUCUGCUGAAGCCCUUAGGCAAGCCAUACCCAGCCAGCACCAAUGAAUACCCCUUAAUUGGGGCUAGGCUAACAGGGGCCUGGCUCAGAACCUCCUAGCCAGCACCCUGUUAGAGCCACCUCGGAGUGUCUAGUGAGAAUGGUAGAGAGGUACAUUUUCUCUUACUCUUCCCCGACUCAUGGAGUAAAGCAAAAGAAGCAAGCAGGGGGUGUAGUCAGUGUUGCUGCUUAGAACUAUAACCACAGGAUGAAGCUUGUACCAGUAGUAAAAAAAAAAAAAUAGUGAAAAUCUAAUGUACAGAUGCUUUGUGCAGGAGGGUUCUCUUUCCUCCUAGAAAGGAAGGUAGGUGAUGCAGUUCUUGCUCCUGCUUCAGCUAUUAGAACCCAGGGCCAGAUGGUGCAAAGGUGCUAAGUAAUAAUCCUUCAUCUUCAUUGUGAGAGGGCUGCUGUGUUUUUCCCAUUUCCAUCCGUUGGUCCGGCCCCAGGGCUUCUGCAUUCUUCUCUGUCGCUUUUAUAUAAUACAAAUGCCAGGUAAUAAGUUCAAAAGGCUAGAUGCUGGGUUAGUUCAUCUCUCUGGUUUAUUAGGCUAGCCCUGACUAACAAGGGUGUUUUAGCUUGGGGCAGCAUGGAGGGAAAGGGAACAUUAUUUCUCACACGUUGUGCUUACUGCACUAUUCAACAGGCAAGAGAAGCAGCCAGCAGGGCUCUCACUACACUAUAAAAGAGAAGACACAAUUCCUCUUCCUUUUUUUUUUUAAGUACGUGCUAAGAUGGCCUUGUGGAACAAUAGUAAAACAGUAGCAAAUUCCACAUGUAACGGCAGCAGAGUUCUAAGGCCUGUGUUAUGCAGGGGGCCAGACUAGAUCAUGUAAUGGUCCCCUCUGGACUUAAAAUUGAUGACAUAUUAUGAAAUUUGAGUGACGUUCUUGAAAUUCUUCAGAUACACUGAGCAAGGACCAUCCUUCAAUCACUUGCUCUGUCUCAUGAGAUCACUCACAAGGGGGUGCAUUUUAACAUGAUAAUUCCUGUAAAUUAGACACCUUUCUGCUACCAAUUAGGCUGAGACUCUUCCUUCAUUUUAAUAGGAAAUCAAACAGUCCAUUCGUUUGCUGAAAAUCUGGGCCUGAUUUCAAAUGAUGGCCUACAGCUGAAGCCCUCCAUAUCCUGUCCCUAAUCUCCAUGGCCAUCCGGACCCCUGAAGCAUAAAUAUUUUAACUACAUGAAGAUAAAGUUCCAUGCCACAGGGCUUCCUCUUCUUGCACAUCAGUGACGUCUGUGAUACUCCAACCAACCCAUGUGGCAAAAAGAGGAUUUGGGUUUUUUUCAGCAUCUUUUCUUGAAAGUGAAGUGCAACCGUAUGGAUUUCGUUUUGUUAGCCCCCUCUGAAGCUGGAAACAGUUGGCAUCUCCUCUAUCCUAUAGUCUCAUUUCAGCACCAGUAGCCCUCCACUGUCACUGGCUAGGAGGAGGAUCUUAAAAGAUUCAAGGUCCUCAGAAGCGUGAAGCACCCUGUUGUAUUGGGUGUAAACUCAGUACUAAUGUGUGAAAAGAAAUAAUUAGAAAGGACUGUUUUACACUUGAAAAGACUUCAAAAGCCUGUGGAAGUGAAUUCAGCACAAAUGAGAGGCUAUCCAUUUAUCUAUCCUGCCCCUUGCUGAAGUAUCUAAGUGCUCAUGUGAUUCGCUUUGUAUGAAGGUAGUUAUACCUGAUGAAACCCUUUACUACACCCAGGGACGGUGGUAUGCCCAUGCUUUUUACUUGGGGGAGAUAGUUCAGUGGUUUGAGUAUUGGCCUGCUGAACCCAGGGUUGUGAGUUCAAUUCUUGAGGGGGCCAUUUAGGGAUCUGGGCCAAAAAUUGGGGAUUAGUCCUGCUUUGAGCAGCGGGUUAGACUAGAUGACCUCCUGAGGUCCCUUCUAACCCUGAUAUUCUAUAAACAUGUUUCAGAUAAUGCAAUGAUGAAAAUAUAAGAACCUCCUCCAGCAGGGUCAGCUCUGGAGGCUUCUUUCUUUAGCACUCAGACUUGGAGUGGAGUUUCUGUUAUAUUCUCUUUGUCUACUGGGCAUUACCUUAGGAAUGGCAUCAAAGAGUCAAACACUCCAUCACUGCCAAAGACUUUUAACUGUUUAACCAAAACAAGUGUUUUCUAGCCAUAAGAGCAGGGGUUUUGGAGUCAGCAUCAAGCAAUCCAGCAACUUUAAAUCAAAUCAAACCCUCCAUGUACAAGUUAUUGUUUCUCAGCUCAACAACCAAACCAGCCUUCCAAGCUCCCCUCACUCCAAAGCAUUCAGAGUUCAUAUCACUAAGCAAAAGGAUCAGAACAUUGUGACACACUGAAGGAAUGGUUGUCUGUGGGGAUGCAGAUGACCCAUCCAUCAGAAGGGAGGAGGGAUUUCCCCUGGCUGGUGAGACACAGAAAGCAGCUAUGGAAGAACUUCUGGGGAAAGGUGAAUCCAAAUGAAAAUAGACACUCUUAGCCCAGAGAGCAGAGAUCACAACUCUCUAGAAGAAGAGUGUGGGGAAGGUCCCAAUGCUGGGAGUGGGGAUCACACAGUAACCCCAAGAAGGGAGAUGGAUUUUUUUCAUAUGUAGAGUUCUAGGGUUGGGAGACAGCUCAACAGAGGGCCAGCCAAUAUGCAGGAUCUCCCUGAACCAUUAUCUCACCAGACCCUGUGGUGCCAGAAUCCCAAAUGUAGGAUUAGAUUGAGAACACAGGCAGAAAAGAACACUGGAGGAAAAGAAAAGCCAGUAACUGAUUACAUGCAAAGGUUCAGGAAGGAGAUAAAUGACACAAUGAGUAAUUAACAAACCAACCUCAAACCCAGGCUGAUUAAACCGAAGGCGUAGUAUAGUAAAAAUACUUGGAAACGCCUACCCGUGGUGAAAGAUUUGCUGUUACAGUUAAACCUUGUAAUAAGGAUUUUGAUACUGAUGUUAAACCCCGUGAUAAGAUACUGUGCACAAUUUUUGGGAAGAGCCUUUGAGCAUACUAGGAAUGAUAAUUGGGAACACCUGUAAUGAUAAGAAACCUCAUGAUAAUGUUGCUGCUCAGCUAUUAUCUGUAAACACACUUAAAGUUUGUCACUGCAGAGAAACUAUAAUAAACCUGGUUUGCUGUAUGGAAGGGGAAACUGAGGCACACCGCCUCAUGGCUUUGAUGGCUGGAUGCAAAAGAACCCUAACACACAUUGCAUUUGAGGUAGUCAGUGACUAACUAUCUUACAGUGAACUAAGGGGGGAGGUGAGACACACUGUACCUCAAAAGGGCACCCUGUAACCCCCAUAGUCAUCAUUCACAUAUAGUUGUGAUACCUCAUACAAAGUAUGCCGUGUAAGAUAUCAUAUGAAAGGUCAUGAUCUACUGAAACCCGUUGUUCUGUCCAAAUAUGUAUAUCAUUAGUAUGUGUGAAGUUAUGAGAUUUUGCUGUAUGGUUGUCACUGAAAUAUGCUGUAAGCUUGCUAGUGACAUACAAAGGAUCCCCGCCCAGGAUGGUGUUCAACGACCAUUAAUCAGCAGGGGAGUUGUGACUGAGGGAUUUAGAAGUCAGUGACAGCUGCCCAAGCACCACACAAUGGGGCCUACUCAGCUCUAUGACUCAGUUGCACAAGACCAAACCAAGGGAUUACUCAGCACAGUGAUUCAGCAAAGCCCACCAGGACAUUUCUGGGCAAGUUUCUUCAGGGCACAUGGACAAAGGAUAUAAAAUAGUAAACAGAGGCAGCCUGCUUUUGCCUUUCUCCUCCCCCACCCGCUCUGGAAGCUGCCGGAAGGCUGAGAAUAUGACAAUUUCGCCGCAGGAGACUGGUCCAGGCGUAAGGGGAAAUCUGUGUAUUAAGAACUGUAACAUCCCGUGAGUGCAACUCCUCCACCUUUUCUCCACUGCCAGUCCUUCCUGAGUUACGACAGCUUAUGCCAGAUGAGAAUCUGCGCUAUCAUAUUUUCACUGGGACCACUGGAUGAGCAUAUCAGUAACAGGGACUGGAGUGUUUCCUUUAUCUAAAAGAGAUGCAAUUAAUGAAGAUUAUUCCUCUUCAGACCCUUUCCAUACAUCUCACCAACAGCUGGCGAAUGCUGCUGAGCAAAGGCCCACUGGACUGAAAGAUUUGGGAAGGAGGAGCAAAUGGCGGCAUGUGAAUGUGAUGGCAUUCAGAGGAGAUGCUGAUCUGGCAAAUGUUGCAAAGAUUCCUGGGAAAGGAGAUGUAUUUCAGAAGGAAUCUACUACAAGGAGGUUAGAAGUAUGGACAGGAAGAAACAACAUGAUGUUCAAGCUGGAAAAUGCCUGCUGAAACAUAGCGGGGGAAAUAACCCAACACACAUAUGAAAACGGGAAAGACAGACACUGAAAGCAGCGGUGCUGGAAGGAAUGGCAGCAAGCAGCACUGAUAAUAUGCUGGAACAAAAAGCCAUGUGAGGCUUGUCUCAGAAGAGGGAGACGCUAGGCUCUCUCUGUGGGCCUGAUCCUGCAAGCUGGGAGUCAUAAGUUCACAACACUGUGCAGAAGGCACUCAGCACCGGCUAGGAUCUAAUCCUACAUGAGUCUAGUGAGACAGUGCUUACAGCAAGGCUGUUUUGAAGAGGUGCUCUGUGGCAGUGCCCCAGGAAAGGGGACUGAGUUUUCCAUUUCAGUGCCUUGGCUCUGCUGUGGGACUGGUGACACGAGAAAUAUAUUGUUGCCACCCCCGUGCUAAACCGUGCAGUUUGCACUCCUCUAUACCAGGAAAAUACUGACAAAUUAGAAGCCAUUCAGAACUCAUAAAAAAGAUUUAAGACGCUGAUGGGACUUCAUCUAAUCAAUCUGUCAGAGCUGCUGGAUGCUCAGUGCUUUGGAGAAUCAGCCCACUUAUUUACAUACGGAGGCAGGAGCCUAACAUUAGGUACCUACAUUUUAAACAAUGCUGACCCGGGUUCCCAUCUCUAGUCAGCAAAAAUGAAUUGUAGAACAUAUGGGUCAUUGUCCUGCAGGUCCUUAUGUGAAAAGGCAAAGGGCAAAGACGUUGUGCUCCAGCAGAAGCUUCUACUCUGAAUGGCAAUAAACACCAAGGUCAUCUCUGCGCUCUGAGUAGUUCAAGGCAAUACAGGGAUCAGGUGUGGACAGAGGACAGUCAUGUCUGGGGAGGCAUGCACUUAAGUGCAAUCCUCACCUUACAAAUGAGGCAUUUAGCUGGGCAUUCCCCACAUAGAUUUCAUUUCACUGCUGCUAUUAGGCAGGACUAACUUUGAAACUUCACAGGAUCAAUCUUUUUAAUGCCGGAUCAGGUUCACCUGUGCUCGCGUUCCAGCUUCUGUGUCUAUGCACUACACUCUGCCCUGAGCUGCACAAGAUCGAUUCCUUCAUGUUUCUCACCUGCAGUGCAAAAAAGGGAGCAAUCUUCCAUUGGCAGCGAGUUGAACUGGGUGAUCUAACAGGUCUAUUCCAUCUCUAGAGCAUCUGAUUCUAUGAAAGUCGCCAUGCACCAAAUUUCCCCCAGGUUCCUAUUGGCCUGGAUAUUGGUCAGAAUUGUGAGAACAAACACUGAGCUCUUCCAGUAGUUCAAGCAAUAGCUGGAGUGUCCCUGAGCAGGUUAGAAUGGGAGAUCACGUCAGACUAAAUGAAACCAGCCCCUUUCUCAAAUCACAGUUCUGACAGCCUUAUUCAUGUCUCCUCUUUGAUUCAGUGGUGGGGGAUCCCCAGCGACUUUACCUAGCUCUUUCUCAAAUGGAUCCAGCACCGCUUCUAGCAAACAACUGGUCUGUGGCAUGCUCUACGGCUGUCCAAGGAGCAGCAGCAGCACGGCUGUUCAGACAGGGGCGUGUGGGCAGCUGGCACCCUCUUCAGUUUUCCUUGUGAAUCAUCUUCUGACGUUUCAGUUCAUUUCAGUACAUGCAUUAAAAAGAAACAUUCCGAGACUGGAACAAAUGUCAGAAGGGAGAUGCCCUGAUAUAAGAAGCUAUAAUUACAUACCGAACUGCUUCUGGAUUCAUCUCUGUGAGGAAACUGCACAGAAGGUAUGAACAGUAUCCACUGAGGAAAAACCCUUGCUUACCGCCUCUAUGUUUUGUCCCUACUGAAUCAUUUCAGCGGCAUACAUUCCCACAGUGGUCAGGUGAAUAGCCCGGUUAUUUUCCUCCAGCAGAGAAAAUGAAUACGAUAUGUUAGCCCAAUGCUUGAAAAGGAAAAUGUCGUUAGUGGCCCUGACUCUCCUGGCACAAUAUUGGAAGUGAAAUUAUAUGCAGUGGUUUGAUUGGCUGCAGUGCAUUGCAGGAGCACAUGUGAAACAUACAAUUGUGACAGCAGCAUCAGUCAAACUCUGCUGCCUCACAGCUCAGGGAAAGAAAUAUUGGUACCCCAGGCACAAAGGAGAGAUUUGAAUUCCUAUUUGCUGAUUAUUUUUUUAAAAUGUAAACCGCUCAUCAGAGUUAACCAUGUUCGCGCCGCACACCGUCUCCAGGAAUAAUAAUUGUGCAGGUAUUCUGAAUGGGAUGAGAUGCGUCUUCAAGGAUCAAGAAGGGCAAACAGGUGAUGACAGAAAGUUAUUUUGUUUGAUAUGAGUGCACGAGGUCUUGGUAUACACUUUACUGAGAAGAACCUAAAAAGCCUCGAUCCUGCUGCCAAUGAAGUUAAAGGGAUUUUUGCUCCCAACAUAAUUGGAAACAGGAUGCAGCCCAGAAUAUAUUAAUUAAAAUACACUUUUAUUCAAAAAAGGGUCAUUAACAACCCUUUCACAUGUGUAGUAUGGUGAGUGGAACUGGAGAAAGAGGUUCAAGUUUCAGGAGGGACCUAGUUGGGUAUGACAAAAGGGGGCUCAGGAAUGCAAGCAGAGGCCAAUGUGGUUUUCCUCAAACUGGAGAGCUCAGCGUGUAACAAUGACCACUAAGCAUUCUUAAUAAAGAUCUCUUUCCUACACCUCUGCAAGGCUGCCUGCCACAUCAAUGAUUACUAAUGAAACAAAUUGAACGCCUUUAACUUAAAGUGCCUUUUAUAGACAAACCCACUUAUCUGCAGGACAAACCCAGAUACCUGAGUCCCCAGAUGUGGUCUGGUUUUGACGGAGACCUGAGUCAGCUGGCUAAGAGUUGUGAUCUUACGUGAUGGACUCGGGCAUUUGUUCAUAACAAAGUAUUGAAUGUGCCUUGGCAGCAGUUACAACACACUUAGUUACAGAGCACUUGGGAGAGUCUUUGGUCAUAGAAACGGUCUGUCUGAAUGCUUGAAUACAGAACUGUGCACAAGAGUUCUGUUGGGUUACAUCUAUAUCUGAGUCUUUUAAACUGCCUUUUACUUUAGCCACCUAUUCCCCCCCCCCCCCAUUGUUUACUAUACUACAUAAAGGAGUGGCCAUCAUAAACUCCUAGCAUUUUGAAAACCUCUUAAUAAUACAUUUAUAUAUAAACAGAUUCCAGCAAUUAUCCACAGAUAAUACCAACAUGAAUAUAGUGAAAACAUAACAAACCCCACUGACAAAACCAUCACUGGAGUCCCUCCCCAACCCAUUCAAGAGUCUAUAUAAAUAAUAUAUUUAUAAGCAGUAUCAUAAAUUAUACUGUUUGUGUGUUAACUGAUUUUUCUCGAAAGAAGGAACAUAACCUAGUUCUGGAGUCCAGACAUUCCUGGUCUCUAUUAGACUGGGACACAACAUUUGAUUCUCUUUUAAAUCAGAUAUGAAACGACAGGGAACUUUAUAUUCCCAAGACAUGCAUUCAGACUGGGAGUUGUGGGGGGAGUGUAUCUGCAAAUAUAGCAAGUAGAGGUGAACAAGCUACUUUUGAUAAAACGUAAACAUCACCUUUAACUUUUCUGAGGGUCAGAAAAAAAAUGGUUAACUUUUUUGAUGUGUGUUUUUUUUCAUAUUUACUGCCUUGCUACAUCCUAGAUUUGGCUAGGAGUGGAAGUGAAUCUGCCAGAAUUUAGUCAAAGGUGUUUUCCUUAUGAUAGUUCCGAUUCAGCCAGCACCAUGAAUACAGCCCUUUUCUCUUUUGGUUUCAUAUAAUAUGCCAAUCUCUCCAGUGAAUGCGGACCAGAAAGCUCAAGCUAGAAUUUCUUCUCAUUAGUGUUCCAGCCUGGCUUCCAGAUGCAGGAGUUCAGAUAAGUACACAUGGAUUUUUGCAUAAUUAUCUGGAUUGAACCUCUGAGAACGUGAGACUCGCCUAUCAUGAAUAGUCAGACAUUUCUUCCAGAAGAGAUUAGUUACCAGAAGUUACCAGAGACUUUACAAGCCAGCAGUCUGCUACAUCACUGCUACAAACCUGAUCCACAAACUUUGCAAUGAUUGUAUGAAUAUGACUUCCUUACCCAUUUUAAUUCACUCCUCUUCUUUUCUCUUAUAAAUAAACCUUUAGAUAUUAGAUACUAAA